rnacentral:other from 2 species
UAGUCCCUGCGAUGUUGGUGUAACUUUUACUGACUUGAUCCUACAAGUUCCUUUCAGGGAGUCCUUAAGGGUGAACUGUACGCCUUGGCGUACGGACCCGGACACCCACUAAUGAUUUGGGACUCAAGGCAGUUUAAGUUCACGGCGCCCGCGGGGACUUU